rnacentral:rRNA from 1 species
GACGAACGCUGGCAGCAGGCUUAACACAUGCAAGUCGAACGCAUCCUUCGGGGUGAGUGGCAGACGGGUGAGUAACGCGUGGGAACGUGCCCUUCAGUUCGGGAUAACCCAGGGAAACUUGGGCUAAUACCGGAUACGUGCGAGAGCGGAAAGAUUUAUCGCUGAAGGAUCGGCCCGCGUCUGAUUAGCUAGGUGGUGGGGUAAUGGCCCACCAAGGCGACGAUCAGUAGCUGGUCUGAGAGGAUGAUCAGCAACAUUGGGACUGAGACACGGCCCGACCUCCUACGGGAGGCAGCAGUGGGGAAUAUUGGACAAUGGGCGCAAGCCUGAUCCAGCCAUGCCGCGUGAGUGAUGAAGGCCUUAGGGCUGUAAAGCUCUUUCGUCCGGGACGAUAAUGACGGUACCGGAAGAAGAAGCCCCGGCUAACUUCGUGCCAGCCGCCGCAGUAA